UACGUAGGGGGCGAGCGUUGUCCGGAUUUAUUGGGCGUAAAGAGCUCGUAGGCGGUUGGGUAAGUCGGGUGUGAAAACUCAGGGCUCAACUCUGAGACGCCACUCGAUACUGCCCUGACUCGAGUCCGGUAGGGGAGCGUGGAAUUCCCGGUGUAGCGGUGAAAUGCGCAGAUAUCGGGAGGAACACCAGUAGCGAAGGCGGCUCGCUGGGCCAUUCCUGACGCUGAGACGCGAAAGCUAGGGGAGCGAACAGG
rnacentral:rRNA from 1 species